GAAAUGCGAUAAGUAAUGUGAAUUGCAGAAUUCAGUGAAUCAUCGAAUCUUUGAACGCACCUUGCGCUCCUUGGUAUUCCUUGGAGCAUGCCUGUUUGAGUAUCAUGAAAUCUUCAAAGUAAAUCUUUUGUUAACUCAAUUGGUUUCUACUUUGGUAUUGGAGGUCUUUGCAGCUUCACACCUGCUCCUCUUUGUUCAUUAGCUGGAUCUCAGUGUUAUGCUCGGUUCCACUCGGCGUGAUAAGUUAUCUAUCGCUGAGGACACUGUAAAAGGUGGCCAAGGUAAAUGCAGAUGAACCGCUUCUAAUAGUCCAUUGACUUGGACAAUACUUUUAUGAUCUGAUCUCAAGUCAGGUAGGACUACCCGCUGAACUUAAGC
rnacentral:misc_RNA from 1 species